AAUCUGUUUGAGCAGGAGGAUUGGACCAGAAGAUCUCCAGAGGUGCCUUCCGGCCUCAGACCUUCUGUGAUUCUGCAAAGAGAUGCAGCCAUCCUUUCUCACCAUUUAAAAAAUCCCUGUGGACAGAUCUGGUGGGCGAGCUCCCACGUCUCUUCCUGACUUUGAAGAGAGUCUCCAUCCUUGACUACUGACCUUCUAAAGGUGAGAAAUGAAGUGCUUUUUGGUGGGCCAGUUUGGAAAGAUCUUAUCCUGAAGUUCAGAUCUGACGA